rnacentral:rRNA from 1 species
GAUGAACGCUAGCGGCAGGCCUAAUACAUGCAAGUCGGACGGGAUCCAUCGGAGAGCUUGCUCGAAGAUGGUGAGAGUGGCGCACGGGUGCGUAACGCGUGAGCAACCUACCUCUAUCAGGGGGAUAGCCUCUCGAAAGAGAGAUUAACACCGCAUAACAUCAACAGUUCGCAUGUCCGGUUGAUUAAAUAUUUAUAGGAUAGAGAUGGGCUCGCGUGACAUUAGCUAGUUGGUAGGGUAACGGCUUACCAAGGCGACGAUGUCUAGGGGCUCUGAGAGGAGAAUCCCCCACACUGGUACUGAGACACGGACCAGACUCCUACGGGAGGCAGCAGUAAGGAAUAUUGGUCAAUGGGCGGAAGCCUGAACCAGCCAUGCCGCGUGCAGGACGACUGCCCUAUGGGUUGUAAACUGCUUUUGUCCAGGAAUAAACCUAAAUACGUGUAUUUAGCUGAAUGUACUGGAAGAAUAAGGAUCGGCUAACUCCGCGCCAGCAGCCGCGGUAAGAC